rnacentral:rRNA from 1 species
AGCGAGCGGAGCUAAAGAUUUACUUCGGUAAUGACGUUAGGAAAGCGAGCGGCGGAUGGGUGAGUAACACGUGGGGAACCUGCCCCAUAGUCUGGGAUACCACUUGGAAACAGGUGCUAAUACCGGAUAAGAAAGCAGAUCGCAUGAUCAGCUUUUAAAAGGCGGCGUAAGCUGUCGCUAUGGGAUGGCCCCGCGGUGCAUUAGCUAGUUGGUAAGGUAAAGGCUUACCAAGGCGAUGAUGCAUAGCCGAGUUGAGAGACUGAUCGGCCACAUUGGGACUGAGACACGGCCCAAACUCCUACGGGAGGCAGCAGUAGGGAAUCUUCCACAAUGGACGCAAGUCUGAUGGGGCAACGCCGCGUGAGUGAAGAAGGUUUUCGGAUCGUAAAGCUCUGUUGUUGGUGAAGAAGGAUAGAGGUAGUAACUGGCCUUUAUUUGACGGUAAUCAACCAGAAAGUCACGGCUAACUACGUGCCAGCAGCCGCGGUAAUACGUAGGUGGCAAGCGUUGUCCGGAUUUAUUGGGCGUAAAGCGAGCGCAGGCGGAAGAAUAAGUCUGAUGUGAAAGCCCUCGGCUUAACCGAGGAACUGCAUCGGAAACUGUUUUUCUUGAGUGCAGAAGAGGAGAGUGGAACUCCAUGUGUAGCGGUGGAAUGCGUAGAUAUAUGGAAGAACACCAGUGGCGAAGGCGGCUCUCUGGUCUGCAACUGACGCUGAGGCUCGAAAGCAUGGGUAGUGAACAGGAUUAGAUACCCUGGUAGUCCAUGCCGUANACGAUGAGUGCUAAGUGUUGGGAGGUUUCCGCCUCUCAGUGCUGCAGCUAACGCAUUAAGCACUCCGCCUGGGG